GCGGGUGUAGCUCAGUUGGUCAGAGCGCUUGCCUUCCAAGCAAGAGGCGAAUAGUUCACGCAGGUUCGAAUCCUGUCACCCGCUCCA
rnacentral:tRNA from 1 species